rnacentral:lncRNA from 1 species
AUUCAUAGUCUUCGGGGAGAAUUAAAGAAGCUAUGAACAAUAACUUUGAAAACAACAUAGACAGAACUGUUAUGAUACCAACUUAGUAAUGCUAUGUGGCAUGUGGGCUUUAAAUAAAUAAAGCUGGACAAAGGUAACCUAACUCAUAAACACAUAGAAUCCUGGCUCUUCUUCUUGCUCUCUUUCACUGCUCUGAAGAUGCUAGAGAAACCCUUCUGGAGUGGAGACAAGUGGCCUUCGAAACCUGAGUUUUCCCCAGGCUGCCCCACACAGUGGGAGUAGAAGUGGAUCCCUUCUCUCUGACACCAGAGAGUCGACUGAACAGCAAUUGACAGAUCUUGCUCAGAAGGCAAAGAGGAGAACAACCAGGGAGCACAGCCAACUUCCAUGCUAAUCAAGGUGAAUAAAGCCAUGACAUAGAACAGAACACCACAGGACUCUGUUUAACACAACCAGGAACUCAACUUAUUCAGCCAACUACCUUGUUUUCUAUUUGUAAUUAGAGUCACAAAGAAGCAGCUUCCUUGCGUGUCGCCCACAAGCAGAGCCCCAGACAACAUCCUCAUUUUCAAUACUUCUUCCCCUUUAUCUCACUCUGCCUGAUGCCUAAUAAGCUGAUUGCUAUUUACUUUGGACCAACAGCUAAUCUGUUAAUGAUUGAUUUUGAAUUUUUACAGCCAUUUGUCUCUGGCAGGACCUGAGACUGCAAAAGGCAAUCCUCUCCUACCUGAUGAAUUGGCUUUUUCUUAGAAAGAAAAGAAAGAAAAGAAGAGAGGAGAAAAGAAAAGGAAAGGAAAGAAGAGAAGAGAAGAGAGAUUGAUUUAAGUAAAAAGUCUUCAUGGUUGCAUUCUGCUGACCAACAAUUGAUAUUUAAUGAGAUACUUCAAUGCAAAAGAAGAAACGAUCCUGCAAGACAUUGAGGCUCCAUCUGCUGUCAGCACCACCUGAGAAAGAAUUGAGGCAGCUGAGGGGCAGAAACCACGGCCCCCCAAGUGGUCUGCUGACCUUCCUGAGAGGUAGAUAUCAUGUGACAGCAAUUGCCUAUCUCAGCAGACACGCUGGAAACGGGAGAAAGUGUUAAAUAUAACCAGGUAGACAGUGAUGAAUUGACAUACUGAAAAAUCGAACACUUCAGUAAUCAGCCUAAGGAUCUGAUAUCAACAACAUUUUUCAGUUUUGUCCAAAUUCAUUGAAAGGUGUACUUUAGCAAGUUCACUUCUCAUUGGUAAGACCUUUCAUCUUUAUGCUGCUUUUCUGAUUGGAUUCUGUGUCAUCAUUGGUUUGGGUGACUCUGUGCAGGAAGCAGACAGACUGUUUGCCUGGAGAGAAGAAGGACUGGAAGGAGCACAAAUAUAAAUGAGUUUUACUCCAACAUUAAUUAAAAAACUAUUAAAUAUCUAUCAAAGUGGUUAUUUAGAAAGAAUUAUUAAAGCCACGGUAUAUGAAAACACAUCAGGUACAGUGUUCUAACAGCACAGUAAACCUGAAAUAUUGAAA